rnacentral:rRNA from 1 species
CCUAUACAUGCAGUCGUACGCUUCUUUUUCCACCGGAGCUUGCUCCACCGGAAAAAGAAGAGUGGCGAACGGGUGAGUAACACGUGGGUAACCUGCCCAUCAGAAGGGGAUAACACUUGGAAACAGGUGCUAAUACCGUAUAACAAUCGAAACCGCAUGGUUUUGAUUUGAAAGGCGCUUUCGGGUGUCGCUGAUGGAUGGACCCGCGGUGCAUUAGCUAGUUGGUGAGGUAACGGCUCACCAAGGCCACGAUGCAUAGCCGACCUGAGAGGGUGAUCGGCCACAUUGGGACUGAGACACGGCCCAAACUCCUACGGGAGGCAGCAGUAGGGAAUCUUCGGCAAUGGACGAAAGUCUGACCGAGCAACGCCGCGUGAGUGAAGAAGGUUUUCGGAUCGUAAAACUCUGUUGUUAGAGAAGAACAAGGAUGAGAGUAACUGUUCAUCCCUUGACGGUAUCUAACCAGAAAGCCACGGCUAACUACGUGCCAGCAGCCGCGGUAAUACGUAGGUGGCAAGCGUUGUCCGGAUUUAUUGGGCGUAAAGCGAGCGCAGGCGGUUUCUUAAGUCUGAUGUGAAAGCCCCCGGCUCAACCGGGGAGGGUCAUUGGAAACUGGGAGACUUGAGUGCAGAAGAGGAGAGUGGAAUUCCAUGUGUAGCGGUGAAAUGCGUAGAUAUAUGGAGGAACACCAGUGGCGAAGGCGGCUCUCUGGUCUGUAACUGACGCUGAGGCUCGAAAGCGUGGGGAGCAAACAGGAUUAGAUACCCUGGUAGUCCACGCCGUAAACGAUGAGUGCUAAGUG